ensembl:rRNA 5S_rRNA 5S ribosomal RNA
UAUGGCCAUCCCACCCUGAACAUGCCUGAUCUCGUCUGAUCUUGGAAGCUGAGCAGGAUCAGACCUGGUUAGUACUUGGAUGGGAGAAAGCCUGAGUGAAAUCCUAGAUCUGACAUGC